rnacentral:lncRNA from 1 species
GUCAGGAUCUGCAUUUUACCAAGAGCCAGGGGAUUUGUGCUCACGCUGCAGUUUGAGGAGCACUGGCCUAGAUCAUUCCAAGAGCCCAUUAUAACUAAGGAGUCACUAGGAGCCUGUGUUUGUGAGGUGCAUCCAUGCCCCCCAAGUCUCCCUUCACUGGAGAAUCAGGCAACUCUUCGUCCAUAAAAUAGAGUAAGUGUUCCAAGGAGUUGAGCAGAUGAAGUUGGUUUUACAGACAGAGAAGGGCUGAAGAAUGCAGAAAUCAAAGAACAAAGCGGAGACUGGUCAUUUCAAAGUGACUUUCCCUGUAGAGUGGGGACAGGAAAAUAACGGGUGAGUUAACAUCAGGUUACUAAGGGUUAUUUUUUAAAAAAUAAGGAUUAAACUGAGUGAACCUCAUUAUGAGACUG